rnacentral:rRNA from 1 species
UACGUAGGGACCAAGCGUUGUUCGGAUUUACUGGGCGUAAAGGGCACGUAGGCGGCGCGGUAAGUCACUUGUGAAAUCUCUGAGCUUAACUCAGAACGGCCAAGUGAUACUGCAGUGCUAGAGUGUGGAAGGGGCAAUCGGAAUUCUUGGUGUAGCGGUGAAAUGCGUAGAUAUCAAGAGGAACACCUGAGGUGAAGACGGGUUGCUGGGCCAACACUGACGCUGAGGCGCGAAAGCCAGGGGAGCAAACGGG